rnacentral:rRNA from 1 species
UACGUAGGGUGCGAGCGUUGUCCGGAAUUAUUGGGCGUAAAUGAGCUUGUAGGCGGUUUGUCGCGUCUGCUGUGAAAUCUCAAGGCUCAACCUUGAGCCUGCAGUGGAUACGGGCAGACUAGAGGUAGGUAGGGGAGAAUGGAAUUCCCGGUGUAGCGGUGAAAUGCGCAGAUAUCAGGAGGAACACCGGUGGCGAAGGCGGGUCUCUGGGCAGUAACUGACGCUGAGGAGCGAAAGCGUGGGGAGCGAACAGG